AGUGAACGCUGGCGGCGUGCUUAACACAUGCAAGUCGAACGAGAACGGGCUAUAGCUUGCUAUAGUUGUCAGCUAAGUGGCGCACGGGUGAGUAAUGUAUAGGUAAUAUGCCUCUUACUAAGGGAUAACAAAUGGAAACGUUUGCUAAUACCUUAUACUCCUUAUUAACAUAAGCUAAUAAGGGUAAGAUUUAUUGGUAAGAGAUUAGCCUGUAUUGUAUCAGUUAGUUGGUGGGGUAAUGGCUACCAAGACUAUGACACAUAACUGGUUUGAGAGGAUGAUCAGUCACACUGGAACUGAGACACGGUCCAGACUCCUACGGGAGGCAGCAGUGGGGAAUAUUGCACAAUGGACGAAAGUCUGAUGCAGCAACGCCGCGUGGAGGAUGACACAUUUCGGUGCGUAAACUCCUUUUAUAUGAGAAGAUAAUGACGGUAUUAUAUGAAUAAGCACCGGCUAACUCCGUGCCAGCCGCCGCAGUAAUAC
rnacentral:rRNA from 1 species